rnacentral:rRNA from 1 species
UGCAAGUCGAGCGGGGAGAGGUAGCUUGCUACCUUACCUAGCGGCGGACGGGUGAGUAAUGCUUAGGAAUCUGCCUAUUAGUGGGGGACAACAUUCCGAAAGGAAUGCUAAUACCGCAUACGCCCUACGGGGGAAAGCAGGGGAUCUUCGGACCUUGCGCUAAUAGAUGAGCCUAAGUCAGAUUAGCUAGUUGGUGGGGUAAAGGCCUACCAAGGCGACGAUCUGUAGCGGGUCUGAGAGGAUGAUCCGCCACACUGGGACUGAGACACGGCCCAGACUCCUACGGGAGGCAGCAGUGGGGAAUAUUGGACAAUGGGCGAAAGCCUGAUCCAGCCAUGCCGCGUGUGUGAAGAAGGCCUUUUGGUUGUAAAGCACUUUAAGCGAGGAGGAGGCUACUUGGAUUAAUACUCUAGGAUAGUGGACGUUACUCGCAGAAUAAGCACCGGCUAACUCUGUGCCAGCAGCCGCGGUAAUACAGAGGGUGCGAGCGUUAAUCGGAUUUACUGGGCGUAAAGCGUGCGUAGGCGGCUUUUUAAGUCGGAUGUGAAAUCCCUGAGCUUAACUUAGGAAUUGCAUUCGAUACUGGGAAGCUAGAGUAUGGGAGAGGAUGGUAGAAUUCCAGGUGUAGCGGUGAAAUGCGUAGAGAUCUGGAGGAAUACCGAUGGCGAAGGCAGCCAUCUGGCCUAAUACUGACGCUGAGGUACGAAAGCAUGGGGAGCAAACAGGAUUAGAUACCCUGGUAGUCCAUGCCGUAAACGAUGUCUACUAGCCGUUGGGGCCUUUGAGGCUUUAGUGGCGCA